AGUGAACGCUGGCGGUAGGCCUAACACAUGCAAGUCGAACGGCAGCACAGUAAGAGCUUGCUCUUACGGGUGGCGAGUGGCGGACGGGUGAGGAAUACAUCGGAAUCUACUUUUUCGUGGGGGAUAACGUAAGGAAACUUACGCUAAUACCGCAUACGACCUACGGGUGAAAGCAGGGGAUCUUCGGACCUUGCGCGAUUGAAUGAGCCGAUGUCGGAUUAGCUAGUUGGCGGGGUAAAGGCCCACCAAGGCGACGAUCCGUAGCUGGUCUGAGAGGAUGAUCAGCCACACUGGAACUGAGACACGGUCCAGACUCCUACGGGAGGCAGCAGUGGGGAAUAUUGGACAAUGGGCGCAAGCCUGAUCCAGCCAUACCGCGUGGGUGAAGAAGGCCUUCGGGUUGUAAAGCCCUCUUGUUGGGAAAGAAAAGCAGCAGGUUAAUACCCCGCUGUUCUGACGGUACCCAAAGAAUAAGCACCGGCUAACUUCGUG
rnacentral:rRNA from 1 species